GGGGGCGACAUGGUUUCGACGGGGAUUCAGAGAUGUGUUUGGAGCGUGUCGUGGAGGUCAGCAGACCACGUUAAUACCUGAUGACGAAAACUAAAUGCCAACGAUAAUGUUGAGCUCGCUCUAGCAGCUUAAAAACCUGACUAGGCGCGUCGGUCUUCGACUCUGCCAGUGGUUGAAGGUUACCGGCGCCAAAACAGCUGGCUGGAUUCACCUGGGCGUCUCAGCUGAGUGAAUCGAGACUUUCUGAGACUCGCCAAAAACAUAGCCUGUCGAUGGGCGCUGUUAUUGGUAAAAUUAAUCAUCGACUACACACGUAGUGCCUACCAUUAAAGGUUUCCGGACGCGGGUUCGAUUCCCGAACGACUUCAUCU
rnacentral:tmRNA from 1 species